AACGAACGCUGGCGGCAUGCCUAACACAUGCAAGUCGAACGGUGUUCCCGCUUCGGCGGGGGCAUAGUGGCGCACGGGUGAGUAACGCGUGGGAACCUGCCCUGUGGUACGGAACAACUCCGGGAAACUGGAGCUAAUACCGUAUGCGUCCUGCGGGACAAAGAUUUAUCGCCAUGGGAGGGGCCCGCGUAGGAUUAGCU
rnacentral:rRNA from 1 species